UACGUAGGGUGCAAGCGUUGUCCGGAAUUAUUGGGCGUAAAGAGCUCGUAGGCGGUCUGUCGCGUCGGAUGUGAAAAUCCAGGGCUCAACCCUGGACCUGCAUUCGAUACGGGCAGACUAGAGUUCGGCAGGGGAGACUGGAAUUCCUGGUGUAGCGGUGAAAUGCGCAGAUAUCAGGAGGAACACCGGUGGCGAAGGCAGGUCUCUGGGCCGACACUGACACUGAGAGACGAAAGCUAGGGGAGCGAAUGGG
rnacentral:rRNA from 1 species